AAUUCGAUAUUGAUACCGCGCGCGUCAUCGACUUCAUAAUUACAUCGUGCAAGUUUCAUUGAUGAGCGAACAAUUGAGACACACGCUUUCGUGUAGCAUCGUCUAAUCUCUCGUUCAUAAGGACAGGAUUUCGCGAAGUGUCAAGGUUCAUUUCAACUCAAAAAAUACACGACUAUCUCAUCGCAAUUCGUUGGAUUUCUCCAUUUGCCGAUCUGGUUCUUCUGGAGCGCGCAAUGUCGGAGACGAUGGACCAUUACUCCUGAACAGCCGGGGGAUAUAAAUGUAACGGACAACAGUUAGCAUGCACGUAACGUAAUGGGACAUCAUGUAUACACGAUGGAGAUUGAACAAGCCGUAUGUAUGUAGUUGGAAACGUAUCGGCCUUCGCCAACGAGGGAAGAAAGAGGGAAAGAAAGGCUCUCAUCGGCAACGUCUUGUCGGUAACAGCAGUCAGCCUUAGAGUGCCUAUUAGAACCAAUUAUCUAUAGCGUUGUAACGCCAAGGAAACAUCACUGCCGCGCCCAUUUUCACCUUGCUGCACGUCAAUGCAACAUGCGACUAAUGUUGUUGAGCGAAAUGAUCCUGUACGCCUCUUAGCUAUCUCGAAAUUAAUUGUAUCGAGCACAUUAAUUGUGUCGAGCUCUAGAGAAAGUUUGUCAAUAUCCAAAGAGAACUCUGAAGUCUGAAAAGAGAGAGGAGGCAUUAUAUUGUCUACAGUAACAGUGUCGGUUUCCCGUAGUUAAAUUAAUAAAUUGUUUCGCAA